rnacentral:rRNA from 1 species
AUACGUAGGGAGCGAGCGUUGUCCGGAAUUACUGGGCGUAAAGGGCGCGUAGGCCGUGUUAUAAGUUAGUUGUAAAACGUGUGGGCUUGACCCGCAUUCGCAACUAAAACUGUAACGCUAGAGGCAUAGAGAGGCAGACGGAAUUCCUGGUGUAGCGGUGCAAUGCGUAGAUAUCAGGAAGAACACCGGUGGCGAAGGCGGUCUGCUGGCUAUGAACUGACGCUGAAGCGCGAAAGCCAGGGGAGCAAACGGGAUUAGAUACCCCGGUAGUCCUGGCAGUAAACGAUGUAUGCUGGGUGUGGGCGUAGCGAUACGUCCGUGCCGAAGUUAACGCGAUAAGCAUACCGCCUGGGGAGUACGGUCGCAAGAUUGAAACUCAAAUGAAUUGACGGGG